rnacentral:tRNA from 1 species
GAGGGUAUAGCUCAGUGGUAGAGUAUGUCAGCAUGCACAAGGUCCUGGGUUCAAUCCCCAGUACUUCCA